UGUGAAAUUGUGUCAUGUCCUUCAAAAGAUUGAGAACAACUGUACCUUAGGCUGUAACAAGUCAGUGUAUGUAAUCAACACUUCUUCACUUCUUUGGAUGCCCUUUAUACUUCUAAGGAUUAUCUUCGGACCACAUGCUUCACUUCCACCAAUAACUGACAUGGAUUUCUGAAGUUCAGUAUUACUACUAAUUGAUUCAUGUCCAAUGCCAGCAGCACCAGUCUCCGUAGCUGCUGGACAUAUCCUACUCUCCAAUAUCCCUCCUGAAUCUGAUGCUGUACAAAACCUGUAAGAAGCAUUAGGAGAGCAGCUAUGAUUGACCCAUGAAAAUGGUACAUCAUAAACACCCACCCCUAAACUUCUCCCAUCUUUAUCGUACACUUCCACUGCAUUCG
rnacentral:misc_RNA from 1 species